rnacentral:rRNA from 1 species
AGCGAACGCUGGCGGCAGGCUUAACACAUGCAAGUCGAGCGGGCACUUCGGUGUCAGCGGCAGACGGGUGAGUAACACGUGGGAACGUACCCUUCGGUUCGGAAUAACGCUGGGAAACUAGCGCUAAUACCGGAUACGCCCUUUUGGGGAAAGGUUUACUGCCGAAGGAUCGGCCCGCGUCUGAUUAGCUAGUUGGUGGGGUAAUGGCCUACCAAGGCGACGAUCAGUAGCUGGUCUGAGAGGAUGAUCAGCCACACUGGGACUGAGACACGGCCCAGACUCCUACGGGAGGCAGCAGUGGGGAAUAUUGGACAAUGGGCGCAAGCCUGAUCCAGCCAUGCCGCGUGAGUGAUGAAGGCCUUAGGGUUGUAAAGCUCUUUUGUCCGGGACGAUAAUGACGGUACCGGAAGAAUAAGCCCCGACUAACUUCGUG